rnacentral:rRNA from 1 species
CAAUAGCGUAUAUUAAAGUUGUUGCAGUUAAAAAGCUCGUAGUUGGACCUUGGACCUGGACAGGCGGUCCGCCUCACGGUGAGUACUGUCUUGCUGGGUCUUUCCUCUUGGUAAUCUGUUGUUUCGGCAGCAGGGAACCAGGACCUUUACUUUGAAAAAAUUAGAGUGUUCAAAGCAGGCUCGACGCCGGAAUAUAUUAGCAUGGAAUAAUAAAAUAGGACGAGCGGUUCUAUUUUGUUGGUUUUUGGAAUCGCCGUAAUGAUUAAUAGGGACAGUCGGGGGCAUUAGUACUCACAUGCUAGAGGUGAAAUUCUUGGAUUUUGUGAAGACUAACUUCUGCGAAAGCAUUUGCCAAGGAUGUUUNCAUUAA